rnacentral:sRNA from 1 species
GGACUUUCGGGUCACGACGCGAGGGUUUC